rnacentral:misc_RNA from 1 species
GAUGAAGAACGUAGCGAAAUGCGAUAAGUAAUGUGAAUUGCAGAAUUCAGUGAAUCAUCGAAUCUUUGAACGCACAUUGCGCCCGCCAGUAUUCUGGCGGGCAUGCCUGUCCGAGCGUCAUUUCAACCCUCGAACCCCUCCGGGGGGUCGGCGUUGGGGAUCGGCCCUGCCUCUUGGCGGUGGCCGUCUCCGAAAUACAGUGGCGGUCUCGCCGCAGCCUCUCCUGCGCAGUAGUUUGCACACUCGCAUCGGGAGCGCGGCGCGUCCACAGCCGUUAAACACCCAACUUCUGAAAUGUUGACCUCGGAUCAGGUAGGAAUACCCGCUGAACUUAAGCAUAUCAAUAAGCGGAGG